ensembl:lncRNA
UUUCUGCCAUAAGGGUGGUGUCAUCUGCAUAUCUGAGGUUACUGAUAUUUCUCCAGGCAAUUUGGAUUCCAGCUUGUGUUUCUUCCAGCGUUUCUCAUGAUGUACUCUGCAUAUAAGUUAAAUAAGCAGGGUGACAAAAGACAGCCUUGACGUACUCCUUUUCCUAUUUGGAACCAGUCUGUUGUUCCAUGUCCAGUUCUAACUUGCUUCCUGACCUGCAUACAGAUUUCUCAAGAGGCAGGUCAGGUGGUCUGCUAUUCCCAUCUCUUUCAGAAUUUUCCACAGUUUAUUGUGAUCCACACAGUCAAAGGCUUUGGCAUAGUCAAUAAAGCAGAAAUAGAUGUUUUUCUGGAACUCUCUUGCUGUUUCCAUGAUCCAGCGGAUGUUGGCAAUUUGAUCUCUGGUUCCUCUGCCUUUUCUAAAACCAGCUUGAACAUCAGGAAUUUCACAGUUCAUGUAUUGCUGAAGCCUGGCUUGGAGAAUUUUGAGCAUUACUUUACUAGCGUGUGAGAUGAGUGCAAUUGUGCGGUAGUUUGAGCAUUCUUUGGCAUUGCCUUUCUUUGGAACUGGAAUGAAAACUAAGUUUUUCCAGUCCUGUGGCUACUGCUGAGUUUUCCAAAUUUGCUGGCAUAUUGAGUGCAGCACUUUCACAGCAUCAUCUUUCAGGAUUUGAAAUAGCUCAAGUGGAAUGCCAUCACCUCCACUACCUUUGUUCAUAGUGAUGCUUUCUAAGGCCCACUUGACUUCACAUUCCAGGAUGUCAGGCUCUAGAUGAGUGAUCACACCAUCGUGAUUAUCCAGGUCAUGAUGAUCUUUUUUGUACAGUUCUUCUGUGUGUUCUUGCCACCUCUUAAUAUCUUCUGCUUCUGUUAGGUCCAUACCAUUUCUGUCCUUUAUCAAGCCCAUCUUUGCAUGAAAUUUUCCCUUGGUAUAUCUCAUUUUCUAGAAGACAUCUCUAGUCUUUCCCAUUCUGUUGUUUUCCUCUAUUUCUUUGCAUUGAUCACUGAAGAAGCCUUCUUAUCUCUUCUUGCUAUUCUUUGGAACUCUGCAUUCAGAUGCUUAUAUCUUGCCUUUUCUCCUUUGUUUUUCUCCUCUCUUCUUAUCACAGCUAUUUUUCAGGCUUCCCCAGACAGUCAUUUUGCUUUUUUGCAUUUCUUUUCCAUGGGGAUGGUCUUGAUCCCUGUCUCCUGUACAAUGUCACGAACCUCCGUCCAUAGUUCAUCAGGCACUCUAUCUAUCAGAUCUAGGCCCUUCAAUCUAUUUCUCACUUCCACUGUAUAAUCAUAGGGGAUUUUAUUUAGGUCACACCUCAAUGGUCUACCGGUUUUCCUACUUUCUUCAAUUUGAGUCUGAAUUUGGUAAUAAGGAGUUCAUGAUCUGAGCCACAGUCAGCUCCCUGGUCUUGUUUUUGUUGACUGUAUAGAGCUUCUCCAUCUUUGGCUGCAAAGAAUAUAAUCAAUAUGAUUUCAGUGUUGACCAUCUGGUGAUGUCCAUGUGUAGAUUCUUCUCUUGUGUUGUUGGAAGAGGGUGUUUGCUAUGACUAGUGCAUUUUCUUGACAAAACUCUAUUAGUCUUUGCCCUGAUUCAUUCUGCAUUCCAAGGCCAAAUUUGCCUGUUACUCCAGGUGUUUCUUGAUUUCCUACUUUUGCAUUCUAGUCCCCUAUAAUGAAAAGGACAUCUUUUUGGAUGUUAGUUCUAAAAGGUCUUGUAGACCUUCAUAGGACCGUUCAACUUCAGCUUCUUCAGCAUUACUGGUUGGGACAUAGAUUUGGAUUACCGUGAUAUUGAAUGGUUUGCCUUGGAAAUGAACUGAGAUCAUUCUGUCAUUUUUGAGAUUGCAUCCAAGUACUGCAUUUUGGACUCUUUUGUUGACCAUGAUGGCUACUCCAUUUCUUCUGAGGGAAUCCUUCCUGCAGUAGUAGAUAUAAUGGUCAUGUGAGUUAAAUUCACCCAUUCCAGUCCAUUUUAUUUCUCUGAUUCCUAGAAUGUCGACAUUCACUCUUGCCAUCUCUUGUUUGACCACUUCCAAUUUGCCUUGAUUCAUGGACCUGACAUUCUAGGUUCCUAUGCAAUAUUGCUCUUUACAGCAUUGGACCUUGCUUCUAUCACCAGUCACAUCCACAGCUGGAUAUUGUUUUUGCUUUGGCUCCAUCCCUUAAUCAUUUCUGGAGUUAUUUCUCCACUGAUCUCCAGUAGCAUGUUGCGCACCUACUGAUCUGAGGAGUUCCUCUUUCAGUAUCCUAUCAUUUUGCCUUUUCAUACUGUUCAUGGGGUUCUCAAGGCAAGAAUACUGAAGUGGUUUACCAUUUUCUUCUCCAGUGGACCACAUUCUGUCACACCUCUCCACCAUAACCCGCCCAUCUCAGGUUGCCCCACGGGCAUGGCUUAGUUUCUUUGAGUUAGACACGGCUGUGGUCCUAGUGUGAUUGGAUUGACUAGAUUUCUGUGAGUAUGGUUUCAAUGUCUGCCCUCUGAUGCCCUCUUGCAACACCUACCAUCUUACUUGGGUUUUUCUUACCUUGGGCAUGGGGUAUCUCUUCACAGCUGCUCCAGCAAAGCUUAGCCGCUGCUCCUUACCUUGGAUGAAGGGUAUCUCCUCACUGCUGCCCUUCCUGACCUUCAGCGUGGGAUAGCUCCUCUAGGCCCUCCUGCACCCGCACAGCCACAGCUCCUUGGACGUGGGGUUGCUCCUCCUGGCCGCCCUGGCACUAUGUGUGGGCGGCUGCGACUGGUGCACUAAGUGCGGCCGAGAGGAGCUACCCCACGUCUGAGGUCAGGGGCAGCGGCCAAGAGUGCCAGGUUGCGAUGGCGCAGGAACAGCCGAGAGGACCUACCCCACAUCCAAAGUCAGGGGCGGCGGCCAGGAGAAGCUACCUCGCAUCCUAGGUCAGGGGCAGCCGGGAGAAGCCACCUUGCACCUGAGAUAUACCCUCCCUUCACCGAGGAGCUACCCCAUGUCCUAGGUCAGGAGCAGCCAGGAGGAGCCACCCUGUGCCAGAGAUAUGCCUACCCUUCACCUUUUAAUUCAAGGAAUUUCAAGGUCAUAUUGUAGAGAGUAAAUACAGGAAUGGAAAAAAGGUGUUAUCAUUUUUGCCAUCUAACAUAGUGAAUUUUAAGGUAAAUAACAAGUAAAAAAAGGAACAUAUUUUUAGAAAAUAAAAUAGAAUAUAAAAUGGUCAG